rnacentral:rRNA from 1 species
UACGUAGGGUGCAAGCGUUGUCCGGAAUUAUUGGGCGUAAAGAGCGCGCAGGCGGUCGUUCAAGUCGAGUGUGAAAGCCCCCGGCUCAACUGGGGAGGGUCAUUCGAUACUGAUCGACUCGAAGGCAGGAGAGGGUAGUGGAAUUCCCGGUGUAGUGGUGAAAUGCGUAGAUAUCGGGAGGAACACCAGUGGCGAAGGCGACUACCUGGCCUGUUCUUGACGCUGAGGCGCGAAAGCUAGGGGAGCAAACGGG